UAUCAUUAAAUAAAUGUUAACAACUUUCUCAUGGGAGCCUGAUGUGCAAUGGCUGCAAACAGCAACUUCCUUGGUAGUGUAUGCGGCCUAUUGCUUGUAUAGGUUGCUGUAAGGAACCUUGGAGACAUUC